rnacentral:rRNA from 1 species
GCGAACAAGGGUCGAGCGGCCGGGGUAGUACGUAGGGGGCAAGCGUUAUACGGGUGGACUGGGUGUAAAGGGAGCGUAGAAGGCGAUGCAAGCGAGAUGGGAAAGCCCGGGGCUCAACCCCGGGACGGCAUUUGGAACGGCGUGGCUGGAGUGUCGGAGAGGCAGGCGGAAUUCCUAGUGUAGCGGUGAAAUGCGUAGAUAUUAGGAGGAACACCAGUGGCGAAGGCGGCCUGCUGGACGAUGACUGACGUUGAGGCUCGAAAGCGUGGGGAGCAAACAGGAUUAGAUACCCGAGUAGUC